rnacentral:misc_RNA from 1 species
CGUAGUGACGUCAUAUCCUCAAAAGCAACUUUUCAAAGCCUACCUCACAUGAAGGUAUCAUCUAAGAAAAUAAUUACCUGAGCAUUAUUUAAAUAAUAUUACCUAACGUUUGUAUUUUUAUACGCUCUUACUCAAAUGUAGUUAUUCCUGUUCGGGAUGUAGCAAAGCACAUGUGCAACCAAAUGACAACAGCACAAGGCGGGAAACGUACUUGCAUCUUCAUUGUUGGAUAUUUGAUCUACUUUUCUAUAACACAAGUUUCAGGACAAUAUCAUUGCCAUUGUGCAGAAGGUUGUAGAGGAAAUGUUGAAGAAUACCGUUGUAACUCAUGCAAAGAAGGCUACCAUGGAUAUUACUGCCAAAUGGAAAACGUGGCUCUCAGAAAACAAGCUCAGCAUUCAGAAGAGUGUAAGAAUGUUUUAGGCAAAGCGUCUUUAGCUGUGGAUGGUGACACUACUACGGAGUUUGGUGACAAAGCCCCUCAUAGGUGCACUUGUUCAAAAGGCAAAGACAAAUUCUGGAGCGUUGACUUGGGUAAAGAGUACCCGAUUAAAAACAUAAAAAUAUACCAGAGGAAUCAAAUUCAGAAAAAAUUACUUGGAUUUCAUAUUGAAAUUGAUGGACACGAGUGUUAUCGGUGGCGAAAUACGAGCGACCCUCCAACUGUUUUUGAUGUAACCUGCGACGGUCAUGGAAGGAAAGUGACAUUCAGGAUACCUGAAGACAUUGAUGUUCUUACUUUGUGUGAAAUUCAAAUCUAUGUGUGUGCAGAUUUCUGGUAUGGUGAUGGCUGUAUGAGAACCUGCAAUUGUAGAAAUAUAUAUGAAGUCUGCGAUAAGAAGACUGGAAAGUGUACAGCUUGUCCAGAUCAUUAUACUGGAGAUGCGUGUGACGUGUGUGAAAAUGGCUAUUGGGGUGAAUAUUGUCUGAAGUGUGGUCAUUGUAUGAAUGGAUACAGCUGUGAUAAAACUACAGGACAUUGUCUGGAGUGUCAACCUGGAUGGAAAUUACCGAGGUGUUCAAAUUGUCUGGAUUACCUGUACGGUUGUAACUGUGACAAAAUCUGCAGCUGUGAAGAAGAAACUCAAGUCUGCGAUAAGGAAACAGGAGCUUGUGACGGUGAGUCAGGUGAGUCUGGUGCGUCAGUUGACGAUGGGUUCAUUGCUGCCAUCGGUGCCACAUUGUGUGUGGUGUUCGUCAUUGCAGCCGCGGCACUGGGCACGUUCUUCUGGAGAAGAAAGAAAAAGCCAGGAUCCGAAGACAAAGAUAUUUUGGUAACACACGCUGAAUGCCCAGGAUCCCAAGACGAAGAUAUGUUGGUAACAAACGCUGAAUAUUGAGGGUCCCAAGACGACGAUAUGUUGGUAACAAAUGCUGAAUGUCGAGAACCGGUGCCUUCAACGUGGUGUCGCCGUAUACUAAAACGCUGAAGGAGAAUGCAAUGCAAGACCAGAAGCGAUUUCUAUGAAUACAAGUGGUGGAUUUGCGUAAAAGGACAUUUUGUGGGAUUCAUUUAUCUAAUUAGUUAAUGUAUUUUUAUAGUUAGAACUUCAGUGAUAAGCCAUUUAUCUGAUUGCUUUAUAUAUGUUUAUGGUUAGACAUUCAGUGAUAAGCCAUUUAUCUGAUUGCUUUAUAUAUGUUUAUGGUUAGACAUUCAGUGAUAAGACACAAACUGCUAAGCAUUUGCAGCCUUUAUCGAAUUCCUUCAUGUAUUUUUAUGGUUAGAAAUUCAGUAAUAAGCCACUUAUCUACAUGUUUUAUGAAUUUUUAUGUUUGGAAAUUCAGUAAUAAGCCACUUAUCUAAACGUUUUAUGAAUUUUUAUGGUUAGAAAUUCAAUGAUAAGUCAUUAUCUCAUUGUUUCAUGCAUAUGUUUGGUUAGACAUUCAGUGGUAAGACAUUUAUCUAAAUGUUUUGUGUAUUUUUAUGGUUAGAAAUUCAGUGAUAAUCUACAAUAAUCUGCUACGCAUUAGCACCAUUUAUCUAAUAGUUUCAAAAUACCAUUAGGCCUACUAGGCCUGAGUUUGCAAUAACUUGAAGUGGGUGGGUUUUUUUUGUUUUUUGUUUUUGUUUUUUUGUUUUUUGUCUGACGCAUUAUAUAUUUGUAAUAAAUAGUUUUACUGGAA